GACGAACGCUGGCGGCGUGCUUAACACAUGCAAGUCGAACGAAAAGAGGGAAAGAGCUUGCUCUUUCCGGAAUUGAGUGGCAAACGGGUGAGUAACACGUAAACAACCUGCCUUCAGGAUGGGGACAACAGACGGAAACGACUGCUAAUACCGAAUAAGUUCCAAGGGCCGCAUGGCCCAUGGAAGAAAAGGUGGCCUCUACCUGUAAGCUAUCGCCUGAAGAGGGGUUUGCGUCUGAUUAGCUGGUUGGAGGGGUAACGGCCCACCAAGGCGACGAUCAGUAGCCGGUCUGCGGAGAUGAACGGCCACACUGGAACUGAGACCCGGUCCAGACGCCUACGGGAGGGAGCAGUGGGGAAUCUUCCGCAAUGGGCGAAAGCCUGACGGAGCAACGCCGCGUGAGUGAUGACGGACUUCGGGUUGUAAAACUCUGUGAUCCGGGACGAAAAGGCAGAGUGCGAAGAACAAACUGCAUUGACGGUACCGGAAAAGCAAGCCACGGCUAACUACGUG
rnacentral:rRNA from 1 species